GUUCAGUACACGGGUGAUCAAUAGAAGGAGCUCUGUCGGCAAUUGGCAACAAAGUAGCAAAAUUUUAAAGUGUCAAAUUGAUUGACCUUGUGAAUGCGGCCGUGGCAUCCUUUUGACAGGGAAGUGCGUGAUGUCAGACGCAUGGGCAGAGUUGGAUCAGCAAAACCCGGAAGUCAUACGGGUAAUGCCGAUCUGAGUGACAAUAAUAUGGGGUAAUUCUGACAGACAGGUAGUACGACAGGUAUGAUAAGUACCAUGUACCUUAGGUCAGACAGUGUUUGAAGACCGAGAGUUAGU